UGAGUAACCUGCCCUUAACUCUGGGAUAAGCCUGGGGAAACUGGGUCUAAUACCGGAUAUGACUCCUCAUCGCAUGGUGGGGGGUUGGAAAGCUUUAUUGUGGUUUUGGAUGGACUCGCGGCCUAUCAGCUUGUUGGUGAGGUAAUGGCUCACCAAGGCGACGACGGGUAGCCGGCCUGAGAGGGUGACCGGCCACACUGGGACUGAGACACGGCCCAGACUCCGUACGGGAGGCAG
rnacentral:rRNA from 1 species